rnacentral:rRNA from 1 species
UGAGGAAUAUUGGUCAAUGGACGAGAGUCUGAACCAGCCAAGUAGCGUGCAGGAUGACGGCCCUAUGGGUUGUAAACUGCUUUUGUUUGGGAAUAAUCGACAUUACGUGUAAUGUUUUGCAUGUACUAUUCGAAUAAGGACCGGCUAAUUCCGUGCCAGCAGCCGCGGUAAUACGGAAGGUCCAGGCGUUAUCCGGAUUUAUUGGGUUGAAAGGGAGUGUAGGCGGUUGGUUAAGCGUGUUGUGAAAUGUAGAUGCUCAACAUCUGACUUGCAGCGCGAACUGGCUGACUUGAGUACACACAACGUAGGCGGAAUUCAUGGUGUAGCGGUGAAAUGCUUAGAUAUCAUGAAGAACUCCGAUUGCGAAGGCAGCUUACGGGAGUGUUACUGACGCUUAAGCUCGAAGGUGCGGGUAUCGAACAGG